ACAAUUCUGCCUGCUCUCCCUCCGCAACCAGCAAUCAGCAUUAAAAAACCAAAAAUGUCAGUGUUGUAUUAAAAGAAGUUAGCACAUUGUGUUCAUAUAUAUUUAACGAAAUCUCAAAUCUUACUCAAACCUACAUCAAAUAUACCAUCAAAUAGUAUUUGAUGUUGUUUCAACGAUGACGCUUAUGGAUUGAGGCAGGCCUAAAUUUUAUGGGAAAAGGCUUACCAACGGGAUAAAUUUCAUUUAAACUUAAAGUGAAGGAUGUCUCUGAUUGUCCGGUUAGGACAUGUGUAGAAAUGAAGAGAUGUGAAGCGUGCCGUAAUCGUUCUGAGCGGGGUGCUCCUCGAUCAGGAGACCGAGACCCCCUCCUUACGUCCCCUAUCUUGCAGGAGGACCCCCAAGAUUUACCGAACUUAACUUGCGGCAUCUGUACGAUGUUUCCAUCGUGCAUGUCUCUGCUGCCGCGGAGGGCGGAGCCCCGGCCCCCUCGGCCGGGCCAGGCGGCCGUUGUACUCAAUGUAUACGACAUGUAUUGGACGAAUUGGUACACAGCCGGGGCGGGUGUUGGCGUGUUCCACAGCGGUGUACAAGUCCACGGCUCGGAGUGGGCUUACGGCGGCCAUCCAUACGCUUUCACGGGAGUUUUCGAGAUAACUCCCAGAGACGAAAGGGAGUUGGGGGAGCAGUUCCGUUUCCGGCAAAGCGUUCACAUAGGAUACACGGAUUUCAGUGAAGAAGAGGUCAGGCGACUGGUCAAUGAAUUAGGCAAGCAGUUCCGGGGCGACAGAUACCACCUCAUGAACAAUAACUGUAAUCACUUCACGUCAGCGUUCUGUUUGGCGCUCUGUUCCCGCGACAUACCGUCCUGGGUGAACCGUCUAGCGUAUGUCAGCUCGUGCGUGCCAUUCUUACAGCGGUGUUUACCAAAGUAAGAUAUUAAAGAGGGAGUGGCUGACCCCGGCCGCUCUCCAACACUCCCUCGCCGCACACUCGCGGUCCUCGUCUCCCGCCACACCGGACUCGCAGGCGUCACAAUAGCGCCACGAAAACCUGCCGCAGUGCAGAGUCAAAAGAAAACGUGUUGUGCGUAAAACAUAGCUGUUAUAUAUACGGCCAUCACUUUGGCGCAUUGUCGAAUCAUAAUAGUAUAGAGUUGCCAGAACUAAAUAUGUAAAUAACCUAAGAGAUGUAUUACGUUCGACUAGUUGUACACUUGUAUAGGGAACUCGACGCCUGGCAACACUGAGCGCAUCGCAUCGAUGCAUUGAUGAUGGAAUAAAAAAUAUGCAUUUUGUUUUGUCCUUAUUUUAUGAAAUAGUUUCUUUAAGCCGAGCUAAUUAACCGAAGAGUGCCUCAAUAAAUUAUAAAAAAAAUAACGCCUCAUUCAUUUGUAAAGUUUUAUUCGGAUUUUAGACGCGUUUAUUAAAAAAAAAUAUAUGCUCAAUUCAGUAACUAUAAAGUUCCUACAUAUUGGCAUACCAGAUUUGAUUUCGUUCAUUCAUUCAUUCGCUCUUUUGUUUUCGCUCAUCAUUCAAUAUUAACCGAAACAUAUUAAAUUCACUCGUAGCAGUCAUAGGGAUCCGUCCGAUAAAUUUCAUAGCUACGUGUUAAACGAGUCCUAACACGCUGUUAAUAAAGACAACCUGAAACGUAAUUAGAAGGUAUCAUAGAAAUAAAAUCACAAUUAAUAAUAAAAUGAAUGAUUUAGUACUAAACUAACGAAUAUUAAUCGAACGAAUUAAUUUAAACGGUAGUUAAAUUAUCUACAGAUAAUAUAGUGCCUAUAACUACUUAGUGACUUAGAUAUUGUAAGUACAUUUGUUAAUAUUAGAUAAAAAAAAAAUAACUACAUGUUAUUCCAUUAACACAUCAGAUUUAGUGUAAAUAAAACAUUUCUUCCAUUCAUAAUUAAAGUUAUAUUAUAAUCUAUUAGAAUUUAUCGACCUUUGACAAUGCGCCAUUUUGGGACGCUUCUCAAUGUUGACGUUUAACGAGUGUCGAGCAAUAAAAUUAAUUUGAAACAAACGAGAAACGUCUCAAUGGAUGGUUUUAUUAUUGAAAUGUAAAAUAUUUGAUAUAAAACGAUUGUUUAUAAGAUUUUUUUGAUAUUUUAUAGUUGGACCGACACAAAUAAUAUGUAAGUGAGUUCCCGCCAUAUUGAAUCGUUUGAAAGUGCCACUUGAUUGUUGCGAAUAGUUUUAAAAUAUUUUAUACUUAGAUUAUAUAUGGCGACGUAUAGUUGGGUAUUGUAUGAUUUAUGUAUUAAAAAAAAUGUCUGUGUGUAUUUUUUAUUCCUUUUACUUGCGACGGUUGUUUUUAACUAUGGUUUCCAACCAAAGAUGACAAUUUUGUUAUUUUCGAUGUAAUUUUAACAUUUUCAGCAACCGUUUUAUUUAAAGCUGGUUUACAAUCGAUUGUAUGAGACUUGUUAGUACAUGAUGUAAGGAAUGGUAUACAAACACAUUGUACCUAAUAAUAAUGUUUAGUCGUAAUGUUAAGAUAUUGUUUGCAUUUAAAGCUUUUCAUUUUAUAUUUUUAGUUUUAGAAUAUUCAAGAUGAAGUUAACCCCGAAAUCAAAUUUAAAUAUCACUAAGCGUUCAUAUUUUAAUAUCGGGCCGUAUAAAAUGUGUGACUAUGGACCAUUUUUCGGAGUUACGUUUAAUUUUAGGGAUAAUUUCGGGGUAUUUAUAAAAUUAUCGUACUGUUAACCGUAUGAGAGGCUUGAAAGUUAAAUAACUAUAACUAUGUGAAGUGUUGACAAGUUUGGGGUAAAAAUCUCUAUUUUUAAUAAUGAGUGUAAGAGAACUACUUUAGAAUUAACAUUGUUAUCAAACGCCCCGAUGUCUUAGAGGACAUCGGGGCGUCCUUUCAUUGGAUCGUAUUAAUUUAAGGGUUUUUUCACGUUAUUGUCAAAAUGGAGUAAAUAUAUUGACAAUAGGAUUUUUUUUGACGAAAUAAACAUUUCAAAAUAUA